AUACGGAGGAUCCGAGCGUUAUCCGGAUUUAUUGGGUUUAAAGGGAGCGUAGGUGGACAGUUAAGUCAGUUGUGAAAGUUUGCGGCUCAACCGUAAAAUUGCAGUUGAUACUGGCUGUCUUGAGUACAGUAGAGGUGGGCGGAAUUCGUGGUGUAGCGGUGAAAUGCUUAGAUAUCACGAAGAACUCCGAUUGCGAAGGCAGCUCACUGGACUGCAACUGACACUGAUGCUCGAAAGUGUGGGUAUCAAACAGGAUUAGAUACCCUGGUAGUCCACACAGUAAACGAUGAAUACUCGCUGUUUGCGAUAUACAGUAAGCGGCCAAGCGAAAGCAUUAAGUAUUCCACCUGGGGAGUACGCCGGCAACGGUGAAACUCAAAGGAAUUGACGGG
rnacentral:rRNA from 1 species